rnacentral:rRNA from 1 species
UUUAGGCGGCCUAGCGCAGGGGUCCCACCUCUUCCCAUCCCGAACAGAGAAGUUAAGCCCUGCAGCGCCGAUGGUACUGGGGUUACACCCGGGA